rnacentral:rRNA from 1 species
UACGUAAGGGGCAAGCGUUAUCCGGAUUUACUGGGUGUAAAGGGAGCGUAGGCGGUAUGACAAGUCAGAUGUGAAAGGCAGGGGCUCAACCCCUGGACUGCAUUUGAAACUGUCAAACUAGAUUGCAGGAGAGGUAAGUGGAAUUCCUAGUGUAGCGGUGAAAUGCGUAGAUAUUAGGAGGAACACCGGUGGCGAAGGCGGCUUACUGGACUGUAAAUGACGCUGAGGCUCGAAAGCGUGGGGAGCAAAC